rnacentral:rRNA from 1 species
UACGUAGGGGGCGAGCGUUAUCCGGAUUUAUUGGGCGUAAAGCGUGCGUAGGCGGUUUAUUAAGUCCAGAAUUAAAGCCCGAGGCUUAACCUCGGUUCGUUCUGGAUACUGGUAGACUAGAGUAUGGUAGAGGCAAACGGAAUUCCUAGUGUAGCGGUGAAAUGCGUAGAUAUUAGGAGGAACACCAGUGGCGAAGGCGGUUUGCUGGGCCAUCACUGACGCUGAGGUACGAAAGCGUGGGUAGCAAAUAGG